CUCAGGAUGAACGCUGGCGGCGUGCCUAAUACAUGCAAGUCGAGCGAACAGAUGAGGAGCUUGCUCCUCUGAUGUUAGCGGCGGACGGGUGAGUAACACGUGGGUAACCUACCUAUAAGACUGGAAUAACUCCGGGAAACCGGGGCUAAUGCCGGAUAAUAUGCAGAACCGCAUGGUUCUGCAAUGAAAGACGGUUUUGCUGUCACUUAUAGAUGGACCCGCGCCGUAUUAGCUAGUUGGUAAGGUAACGGCUUACCAAGGCAACGAUACGUAGCCGACCUGAGAGGGUGAUCGGCCACACUGGAACUGAGACACGGUCCAGACUCCUACGGGAGGCAGCAGUAGGGAAUCUUCCGCAAUGGGCGAAAGCCUGACGGAGCAACGCCGCGUGAGUGAUGAAGGUCUUCGGAUCGUAAAACUCUGUUAUUAGGGAAGAACAAGUGCGUAGGUAACUAUGCGCACCUUGACGGUACCUAAUCAGAAAGCCACGGCUAACUACGUGCCAGCAGCCGCGGUAAUACGUAGGUGGCAAGCGUUAUCCGGAAUUAUUGGGCGUAAAGCGCGCGUAGGCGGUUUUUUAAGUCUGAUGUGAAAGCCCACGGCUCAACCGUGGAGGGUCAUUGGAAACUGGAAAACUUGAGUGCAGAAGAGGAAAGUGGAAUUCCAUGUGUAGCGGUGAAAUGCGCAGAGAUAUGGAGGAACACCAGUGGCGAAGGCGACUUUCUGGUCUGCAACUGACGCUGAUGUGCGAAAGCGUGGGGAUCAAACAGG
rnacentral:rRNA from 1 species